rnacentral:lncRNA from 1 species
UGCAAUCCUGCGUGCCUUAUAAGCCUUUUUUAGGUUCUCUUCUUCUCCGGUGUUUCUGUAUCUCGGUUCCUUCUCUGAGUUGUCUCUGUUGCCUAUAAGUUUGGAUUUUGUGUUAUUUUGUUGUCUGUCCAUCCUGUUCAUCUGUCUUUGCGUCGUAAGCUCUUCUCAUCACGUGAUAGUCAUCGGUGUUGUUUUGCUUUGGAUUUUGAGUAAGUAGCUGUUUGUUGUAAGAUGAGUUUCGAUUUAAUGAGAUUUGUAACCUAAUGCUUCGAUUGUUGGUUGUUUUGAAGUUUUUGUCAAGGAGCUGGUACUACCCGAUCAACAAAGCAAGUUUACAUGCAAAGAAUGGGUAACUGAAAUCACUCUAAAUCGUAAAUGGUUUCGUUUGUGAGGAUGAUGGCUGUGUUCCUUGCCCUGUUUUCAUGUACAAUGGUACAAAUGUUGGAUAAAUCAUGCUAUGACAUGGUGGUCAAGGACGGACAUACGAUCCAGAAAUCAUGCCUAUAGAAAUCUUUAAUAUUCUCGAAGAAUUACACCUAUUGAUAUGUCCAUAAGAGAACGGGGAACAUGGCUAUGAACAAAGCUGCCUAUAAUCCCAGCGACCCCAGAUCCUAAAACAGGGACAUCAAAAAAAAGAAUGCAAUGAUCACCAGAUAAUGAAACAACAGGAAGGCAAGCAAAACAGUAAAAGGAUACUGGGCAAGGCAAUUUUUUGGGUGGCCGAAACAACUCCAGAUGCAUCUAACAAGACGGGCAUUUUCCAGUUAUAAAUUCCAGCCUACAAGUAGAAUACGACAUGGUUAGCCUCCAUAGGCAGCAUAUCAUAUGCCAUUUUAGCAACGUGCAGGUCAACUGGGACGAAUUACAAAGGUUGUAACUUUUGUAUUAAAAAAACAUGACAGGGACACUAAUGUUAUGAGAAUAUAACCAAAGUAUUUAAUCUAUAGUUUGCAAUAUAAAGCAACCAACUUUGCUUCACGAAACAUAGUGAACACCUAAUACGUCAGGUUAUUCAUAUGAUGUUUGCAAUAUACCUAUACCCGUUCCAUUCAAUGUUUGUGACAUACCCGCGCCGCAACGCGCGCGGGUCUAACCACUAGUG